CAUCCCUGGGUGAGAAUUUGGACACGCCCAUGGCUUUGCGGAUAAUUCCCAAGUGUGAUAGUUUAUUUUAUGCCAAUUUGGCUGGGCCAUGGGGUGCCAAGAUAUUUGGCCAAACAUUAUUCAGGGUGUUUCUGUGGAAAUGUUUUUAGAUGACAUGAACAUUUAAAUUGGUGGACUUUUGAGUAAAGCAGAUUGCUUUCCAUAAUGUGGGUGGGUCUCACCCAAUCAGCUGAAGGCCUGAAGAGAACAACAACAAAAAAAAGACCAACCUCCCUCCAGCAAGAGAUAAUCCUCCAGCAGAUGGCCUUCAGGCUCCAUCUGCAACAUCAGCUCUUCCUGGUUCUCCAGCAAUGGCCUUCGGACUGACUGCAGCUGGAACAGCCACCGCCCCCGGGGUCUCCGGCCCACCAGCCCAGUUUGCAGAUACGUAUCUCCUAUUGGUUCUGUUUCUCUGGAACUCCCUGACCGAUACACCAGCCUGCAGAGAAGCAACCUGCAGAAGUCUGAGAACCUGCCAUUUGCAGGGGUUAUGCCUGUAACCAAACCAACCUCUUCCUGGAACUUGGCGAGAGAGACAGGCUAUACCCACUGAACAGAUGGUGACCCUAGCUUUUGUCCCCAGCAUGGACCAGCCUGGUGACUGUGAUCUGGCCAAGGUAGUUCAGCGCUCAGGCCUCCAUCCCAAGCCCAGAGUGGAAAUGCAGGACCUUGAAGGGGGAACUUGAAACCCAAGUCCCCAUCAUCCUGAUGGCUGCAGUGAAUCCACAUGUGAUUCUCUGGAUACGAACUGAAAAAUAACUAUCGGUAAUAGUGUGGGGAGGACUUCUCUCUGUGUGACUCCAGCCA